UGUUCAUUACUUAGUCACUACAUGUAAGCUAUCAACAAAGCAAAUGAAACAUAAAAAAACAAGCCAUAGGCUCUCCAAGCUGUUAUAAAAAAGGAAUAAGAAAGAAAGGAAACCAAACACAGACAAAAUAUUUUCUCACCAAAUUCUCCAACAUAAGAAGUUUUCACCACUUCGACACUAUAGCCUCAAAUGCUACAACCACAGAAGACAAAGAAGAGACACACGGUCGCCGCUAAAGCGAGCGUCUCAAACGCCACCACGAAGGCCCACAGGAUGUCGUCGAUGAACGAAAAGCCGAUCCCCGGCCACCGGGACACCGUGCCGGCCCAACUUGGGGCGAGACCGGAGAGGUCGAACGACGGCCACCGGAAGAUGGAGCUUGGCGUGCUCCAAUUAGAGUUGGAGAUGCUGUCUACAAUCCACCGGAGUAUUGAUUGAGGUGAUGAAGCGCCUCCCAUCUCCCGCUGUCGCCGUCCUCUACUGGUCUUGGAGCUGAUAUUUGUGGUCGAAGGUUGGUUCGGUGAAUAUAGUGGGUGUUAAUAUCUCGCUUGG
rnacentral:lncRNA from 1 species